AUUGAACGCUGGCGGCAGGCCUAACACAUGCAAGUCGAACGGUAACAGGAAGAGGCUUGCUUCUUUGCUGACGAGUGGCGGACGGGUGAGUAAUGUCUGGGAAACUGCCUGAUGGAGGGGGAUAACUACUAGAAACGGUAGCUAAUACCGCAUAACGUCGCAAGACCAAAGAGGGGGACCUUCUGGCCUCUUGCCAUCGGAUGUGCCCAGAUGGGAUUAGCUAGUAGGUGGGGUAACGGCUCACCUAGGCGACGAUCCCUAGCUGGUCUGAGAGGACGACCAGCCACACUGGAACUGAGACACGGUCCAGACUCCUACGGGAGGCAGCAGUGGGGAAUAUUGCACAAUGGGCGCAAGCCUGAUGCAGCCAUGCCGCGUGUAUGAAGAAGGCCUUCGGGUUGUAAAGUACUUUCAGCGGGGAGGAAGGGAGUAAAGUUAAUACCUUUGCUCAUUGACGUUACCCGCAGAAGAAGCACCGGCUAACUCCGUG
rnacentral:rRNA from 1 species